rnacentral:rRNA from 1 species
GCGGCCUAUCAGCUUGUUGGCGGGGUAAUGGCCCACCAAGGCAACGACGGGUAGCUGGUCUGAGAGGAUGGUCAGCCACACUGGGACUGAGACACGGCCCAGACUCCUACGGGAGGCAGCAGUGGGGAAUCUUGCGCAAUGGGCGAAAGCCUGACGCAGCAACGCCGCGUGCGGGAAGAAGGCUUUCGGGCUGUAAACCGCUUUCAGCAGGAACGAAAAUGACGGUACCUGCAGAAGAAGGAGCGGCCAACUAUGCGCCAGCAGCCGCGGUAAUACAUAGGGUGCAAGCGUUGUCCGGAAUUAUUGGGCGUAAAGAGCUCGUAGGUGGUUAGUUACGUCGGAUGUGAAAAUCUAGGGCUCAACCCUAGACCUGCAUCCGAUACGGGCUAGCUUGAGUUUGGUAGGGGAGACUGGAAUUCCU